rfam:Strongylocentrotus purpuratus Contig121286_fixed, whole genome shotgun sequence.
UAGCUCAGUCAGUAGAGCGUCCGCCUCACAACCGGGAGGUCGUGGGUUCGAACCCCGGC